GCUAUUUUUCGCGAGAAUACUUAUCGGCGAAAGUAUCACCCCCAACAGAGUCAACCGGAAAUCGCGCGUUGCGGUCCUCGGAGUUGCCGUUUUCCGCGGCCGGCCCGCCAGCUUUACCAAAGCGGAAUCUUCCCACAACGAGGACCGUCGCAUUAAUCUCCGCCGUAACAAACGGCCGACAGCGCCCGGGCUAGACAAAUAACGAGUCUCGGUGGCCUUCUCGAUCUAACGAUCCAUACCGAUCCGGUGCAAACACCGCAGCCGCCGCCCCGUGUCCCGCAAAAGGACACAAUGUCCUCGACAACGACGUGUUUGUCGACUAUGGAAUUUCGCCACAGCUCUAUCCAGAGUAGCCAACCGUCUGGAAUUUCGCGGGACAUCCCGAUUUUGGAGCUUCUACAGAAGCAUCCCAAAUAGUCCCAAAAGUAACGGACC